rnacentral:rRNA from 1 species
GUGCCAGCCGCCGCGGUAAUACGUAGGGUGCAAGCGUUAAUCGGAAUUACUGGGCGUAAAGCGUGCGCAGGCGGUUCGCUAAGACAGAUGUGAAAUCCCCGGGCUUAACCUGGGAACUGCAUUUGUGACUGGCGGGCUAGAGUAUGGCAGAGGGGGGUAGAAUUCCACGUGUGGCAGUGAAAUGCGUAGAGAUGUGGAGGAAUACCGAUGGCGAAGGCAGCCCCCUGGGCCAAUACUGACGCUCAUGCACGAAAGCGUGGGGAGCAAACAGGGUUAGAUACCCUGGUAGUCCACGCCCUAAACGAUGUCAACUAGUUGUUGGGGAUUCAUUUCCUUAGUAACGUAGCUAACGCGUGAAGUUGACCGCCUGGGGAGUACGGUCGCAAGAUUAAAACUCAAAGGAAUUGACGGGGACCCGCACAAGCGGUGGAUGAUGUGGAUUAAUUCGAUGCAACGCGUAAAACCUUACCUACCCUUGACAUGUAUGGAACCUGGCUGAGAGGCCGGGGUGCCCGAAAGGGAGCCAUAACACAGGUGCUGCAUGGCUGUCGUCAGCUCGUGUCGUGAGAUGUUGGGUUAAGUCCCGCAACGAGCGCAACCCUUGUCCCUAGUUGCUACGCAAGAGCACUCUAGAGAGACUGCCGGUGACAAACCGGAUGAAUGUGGGGAUGACGUCAAGUCCUCAUGGCCCUUAUGGGUAGGGCUUCACACGUCAUACAAUGGUCGGACAGAGGGUCGCAACCCGCGAGGGGAGCCAAUCCCAGAAACCGAUCGUAGUCCGGAUCGCACUCUGCAACUCGAGUGCGUGAAGCUGGAAUCGCUAGUA